rnacentral:rRNA from 1 species
GUGGGGAAUCUUGCGCAAUGGGCGAAAGCCUGACGCAGCCAUGCCGCGUGGAUGAUGAAGGUCUUAGGAUUGUAAAAUCCUUUCACCGGUGAAGAUAAUGACUGUAGCCGGAGAAGAAGCCCCGGCUAACUUCGUGCCAGCAGCCGCGGUAAUACGAAGGGGGCUAGCGUUGCUCGGAUUUACUGGGCGUAAAGGGCGCGUAGGCGGACAUUUAAGUCAGGGGUGAAAUCCCGGGGCUCAACCUCGGAACUGCCUUUGAUACUGGCGAUCUUGAGUGUGAGAGAGGUAUGUGGAACUCCGAGUGUAGAGGUGAAAUUCGUAGAUAUUCGGAAGAACACCAGUGGCGAAGGCGACAUACUGGCUCAUUACUGACGCUGAGGCGCGAAAGCGUGGGGAGCAAACAGGAUUAGAAACCCCAGUAGUCC